CGUAGCGUACACGGUGGAUGCCCUGGCAGUCAGAGGCGAUGAAGGACGUGCUAAUCUGCGAAAAGCGUCGGUAAGGUGAUAUGAACCGUUAUAGCCGGCGAUGUCCGAAUGGGGAAACCCAGUGUGAUCCGUCACACUAUCGUUAACUGAAUACAUAGGUUAACGAGGCGAACCGGGGGAACUGAAACAUCUAAGUACCCCGAGGAAAAGAAAUCAACCGAGAUUCCCCCAGUAGCGGCGAGCGAACGGGGAGCAG
rnacentral:rRNA from 1 species